rnacentral:rRNA from 1 species
GUCCAUAUGAAUUAAGUAUAUGGUUCGGCCUGCCCACUGAGCGUUUAAAGGGCCGCGGUAUCUGAACCGUGCUAAGGUAGCAUAAUCAAUAGUCCUUUAAUUGAGGUCUUGAAUGAAUGGUUAGACGAAAAACUAAUUGUCUUAAGUUUAAAAAUUGAAUUUUACCUUUAAGUGAAAAGGCUUAAAUUGUUAGUGGGACGAUAAGACCCUAUGAAGCUUUACAAUAUUUUCUUGAAUUAUUUUAAUUUUUUGUAGUAAGAUUUAAAUGAAAUAUUUGUUUUGCUGGGGCGGCUGGAAUAUAAGUUUAACUGUUCAUAAAGAAAAUAGUUAUAGUUAUAAUGUUUGAUCCUUCAUUUGAGGAUAAAGAGAUUUAAGUUACUCUAGGGAUAACAGCGUAAUUCUUUUUGAGAGUACUUAUCGACAAAAGUAUUUGCGACCUCGAUGUUGAAUUAAGAUUUCUCCAAGGUGCAGCAGUCUUGGGUGAAGGUCUGUUCGACCUUUAAAUUCUUACAUGAUUUGAGUUCAGACCGGCGUG